GCACUGUUGACAAGUUCCAUAAUAGGACGAAACAGCCGUCCAGUAC
rnacentral:hammerhead_ribozyme from 1 species